rnacentral:rRNA from 1 species
GAUGAACGCUGGCGGCGUGCCUAAUACAUGCAAGUCGAGCGAACAGACGAGGAGCUUGCUCCUCUGACGUUAGCGGCGGACGGGUGAGUAACACGUGGAUAACCUACCUAUAAGACUGGGAUAACUUCGGGAAACCGGAGCUAAUACCGGAUAAUAUAUUGAACCGCAUGGUUCAAUAGUGAAGGACGGUUUUGCUGUCACUUAUAGAUGGAUCCGCGCCGCAUUAGCUAGUUGGUAAGGUAACGGCUUACCAAGGCGACGAUGCGUAGCCGACCUGAGAGGGUGAUCGGCCACACUGGAACUGAGACACGGUCCAGACUCCUACGGGAGGCAGCAGUAGGGAAUCUUCCGCAAUGGGCGAAAGCCUGACGGAGCAACGCCGCGUGAGUGAUGAAGGUCUUCGGAUCGUAAAACUCUGUUAUUAGGGAAGAACAAAUGUGUAAGUAACUAUGCACGUCUUGACGGUACCUAAUCGGAAAGCCACGGCUAACUACGUG